GCAGUGGAGUAUGUGGUUUAAUUCGAAGCAACGCGAAGAACCUUACCAGGUCUUGACAUCUCCUGAAUAGCCUAGAGAUAGGUGAAGCCCUUCGGGGCAGGAAGACAGGUGGUGCAUGGUUGUCGUCAGCUCGUGUCGUGAGAUGUUGGGUUAAGUCCCGCAACGAGCGCAACCCUUAUUAUUAGUUGCUACGCAAGAGCACUCUAAUGAGACUGCCGUUGACAAAACGGAGGAAGGUGGGGAUGACGUCAAAUCAUCAUGCCCCUUAUGACCUGGGCUACACACGUACUACAAUGGCACUAAAACAGAGGGAAGCGACACCGCGAGGUGAAGCAAAUCCCGAAAAAGUGUCUCAGUUCGGAUCGCAGGCUGCAACCCGCCUGCGUGAAGUCGGAAUUGCUAGUAAUCGCAGAUCAGCAUGCUGCGGUGAAUACGUUCCC
rnacentral:rRNA from 1 species